GGUACCGUAUGAAUAAGCAUCGGCUAACUCCGUGCCAGCAGCCGCGGUAAUACGGAGGAUGCGAGCGUUAUCCGGAUUCAUUGGUUAAAGGGUGCGUAGGCGGAAGUAUAAGUCAGGGGUGAAAGUUUGUGGCUCAACCAUAAAAUUAGCCUUUGAUACUGUAUUUCUUUGAGUACAUUUGAGGUAGGCGGAAUGUGUUGUGUAGCGGUGAAAUGCUUAGAUAUAACACAGAACACCGAUUGCGAAGGCAGCUUACUAAACUAGUAACUGACGCUGAUGCACGAAAGCGUGGGGAUCGAACAGGAUUAGAUACCCCUGGUAG
rnacentral:rRNA from 1 species